rnacentral:rRNA from 1 species
GAUGAACGCUGGCGGCGUGCCUAAUACAUGCAAGUCGAGCGAACGGACGAGAAGCUUGCUCCUCUGAUGUUAGCGGCGGACGGGUGAGUAACACGUGGAUAACCUACCUAUAAGACUGGGAUAACUUCGGGAAACCGGAGCUAAUACCGGAUAAUAUUUUGAACCGCAUGGUUCAACAGUGAAAGACGGUCUUGCUGUCACUUAUAGAUGGAUCCGCGCCGCAUUAGCUAGUUGGUAAGGUAACGGCUUACCAAGGCAACGAUGCGUAGCCGACCUGAGAGGGUGAUCGGCCACACUGGAACUGAGACACGGUCCAGACUCCUACGGGAGGCAGCAGUAGGGAAUCUUCCGCAAUGGGCGAAAGCCUGACGGAGCAACGCCGCGUGAGUGAUGAAGGUCUUCGGAUCGUAAAACUCUGUUAUUAGGGAAGAACAAAUGUGUAAGUAACUGUGCACAUCUUGACGGUACCUAAUCAGAAAGCCACGGCUAACUACGUG